UACGGGAGGCAGCAGUGGGGAAUAUUGCACAAUGGGCGCAAGCCUGAUGCAGCCAUGCCGCGUGUAUGAAAAAGGCCUUCGGGUUGUAAAGUACUUUCAGUCGUGAGGAAGGUGUUAAGGUUAAUAACCUUAGCAAUUGACGUUAGCGACAGAAGAAGCACCGGCUAACUCCGUGCCAGCAGCCGCGGUAAUACGGAGGGUGCGAGCGUUAAUCGGAAUUACUGGGCGUAAAGGGCACGCAGGCGGUUAAUUAAGUUGGAUGUGAAAUCCCCGGGCUUAACCUGGGAAUGGCAUUCAAGCUGGUUAGCUAGAGUCUUGUAGAGGGGGUAGAAUUCCAUGUGUAGCGGUGAAAUGCGUAGAGAUGUGGAGGAAUACCGGUGGCGAAGGCGGCCCCUGGACAAAGACUGACGCUCAUGUGCGAAAGCGUGGGGAGCAAACAGGGAUUAGAUA
rnacentral:rRNA from 1 species